rnacentral:sRNA from 1 species
CAGCUUAUUGGUAAGCACGGUCCACCUUUGAAGCCUUGAAUGUCCCAGUCUGCUUUAAUGCAGGCGACAUCAGUCUGUUGCUGAGACCUUCCAUGUUGAAUAUCAGCAGCCGCUUUACUAACUUGUUUUGCGGUUCACAGAUCAAACACUGGUGGCCUUUCGAGUUAUAUAACGUCUAUCAAACCCCAACGGGGUUGUGCCCUCGAGCUAAACUUCUGACACUAUGUAACUCGUGGGUUAAAAUAUGACCGGCGUCACCUUGAAAUAGGUCACACAUUUGCGUUCCGUAGGUGAACCUGCGGAAGGAUCAUUAUAGAGUUAGGGUUUUUCAGGCCCAACCUCCCACCCGUGUGUAUCCAUCUUUGUUGCUUUGGCGGGCCUGUUUGAGAUAGCUCACCGGCGGCUUCGGCUGCUGAGCGCCCGUCAGAGACCCAUCAAACUCUGUCAAUUGCGAUGUCUGAGUACCAAUACAAUAGUUAAAACUUUCAACAACGGAUCUCUUGGUUCUGGCAUCGAUGAAGAACGCAGCGAAAUGCGAUAAGUAAUGUGAAUUGCAGAAUUCAGUGAAUCAUCGAAUCUUUGAACGCACAUUGCGCCCUUUGGUAUUCCGGAGGGCAUGCCUGUUCGAGCGUCAUUGCACCACUCAAGCUUGGCUUGGUCUUGGGUCCUCGUCCUCCAUGGAUGUGCCCGGAAAUCAGCGGCGGCACAGCCUGGCUUCAAGCAGUAUUAACAUAUCUUUCGCUUUGGAAGCUUGGGUUCGAGUCUGCCGGACAACCCUCAUAUUUCUCAGGUUGACCUCGGAUCAGGUAGGGAUACCCGCUGAACUUAAGCAUAUCAAUAAGCGGAGGAAAAGAAACCAACAGGGAUUGCCUCAGUAACGGCGAGUGAAGCGGCAACAGCUCAAAUUUGAAAUCUGGCUCUUUCGGGGCCCGAAUUGUAAUUUGUAGAGGAUGCUUCGGGUACGGCUCCGGUCUAAGUUCCUUGGAACAGGACGUCGCAGAGGGUGAGAAUCCCGUACGUGACCGGCCUCCACGCCCAUGUGAAGCUCCUUCGACGAGUCGAGUUGUUUGGGAAUGCAGCUCAAAAUGGGUGGUAAAUUUCAUCUAAAGCUAAAUAUUGGCCAGAGACCGAUAGCGCACAAGUAGAGUGAUCGAAAGAUGAAAAGCACUUUGAAAAGAGAGUCAAACAGUACGUGAAAUUGUUGAAAGGGAAGCGCUUGCAACCAGACUUGCCCGCGGGUGAUCAACCGGUAUUCUUACCGGUGCACUCGCCCGUGGUCAGGCCAGCAUCGGUUUGGGCGGCUGGAUAAAGUCCACCGGAAAGUAGCUCCUCCCGGGGAGCGUUAUAGCCGGUGGUGCAAUGCAGCCCGCCUGGACCGAGGACCGCGCU